rnacentral:rRNA from 1 species
AAGUACAGCCAUGCCACCCCGAACAUGCCCGAUCUCAUCUGAUCUCAGAAGCUAAGCAGGGUCGGGCCUGGGCUACUCAGAUGGGAGAUCACCUUGGAAUAUCAGGUGCUGUAGGUG